rnacentral:rRNA from 1 species
GACGUAGGGCGCGAGCGUUGUCCGGAUUUAUUGGGCGUAAAGCGCUCGCAGGUGGUUCGUUGCGUCGUGCGUGAAAGACCCCGGCUCAACUGGGGAGUGUCGUGCGAUACGGGCGAACUGGAGGCCAGUAGGGGGAUGCGGAAUUCCGGGUGUAGUGGUGGAAUGCGUAGAGAUCCGGAGGAACACCAGCGGCGAAGGCGGCAUCCUGGACUGGUCCUGACACUCAGGAGCGAAAGCGUGGGGAGCGAUCCGG